rnacentral:rRNA from 1 species
AAACGGCGGCCGUAACUAUAACGGUCCUAAGGUAGCGAAAUUCCUUGUCGGGUAAGUUCCGACCUGCACGAAUGGCGUAACGACUUCCCCACUGUCUCAACCAGCUGCUCGGUGAAAUCGAACUAGCGGUGAAGAUGCCGUUUACCCGCGAAAAGACGGAAAGACCCCGUGAACCUUUACUACAGCUUGACAGUGACAUUCGGGCUAGUCUGUGUAGGAUAGGUGGGAGGCGCUGAGUUCGGGGCGCUAGCUUCGAAGGAGCCAACCUUGAAAUACCACCCUGAUUAUUCUGAAUGUCUAACUCCAGCCCGUAAGCCGGGUUGAGGACACUGUCUGGUGGGUAGUUUGACUGGGGCGGUCGCCUCCAAAAAAGUAACGGAGGCGCGCGAUGGUUCCCUCAGGCUGAUUGGAAACCAGCCGUAGAGUGUAAAGGCAUAAGGGAGCUUGACUGCGAGACCGACGGGUCAAGCAGGUGGGAAACCAGGUCUUAGUGAUCCGGUGGUUCUUUACGGAAAGGCCAUCGCUCAACGGAUAAAAGGUACUCCGGGGAUAACAGGCUGAUCUCCCCCAAGAGUUCACAUCGACGGGGAGGUUUGGCACCUCGAUGUCGGCCCAUCGCAUCCUGGGGCUGGAUUAGGUCCCAAGGGUUUGGCUGUUCGCCAAUUAAAGCGGUACGCGAGCUGGGUUUAGAACGUCGCGAGACAGUUCGGUCCCUAUCUUUCGUGGGCGCAGGAGAUUUGAGAGGAGCUGCCCCUAGUACGAGAGGACCGGGGUGGACAGACCUCUAGUGUUCCAGUUGUCCCGCCAGGGGCAUAGCUGGGUAGCUAUGUCUGGGAAGGAUAACCGCUGAAAGCAUCUAAGCGGGAAGCCUGCCUCAAGAUUAGAUCUCCCUCUCCUUGUGAGAAUAAGAUCCCUGAAAGACUAUCAGGUUGAUAGGCCGGGUGUGUAAGCGUCGUGAGGCGUUGAGCUUACCGGUACUAAUUGAUCGAACGGCUUGACCAUAUUU